CCUACGGGAGGCAGCAGUGAGGAAUAUUGGUCAAUGGACGAGAGUCUGAACCAGCCAAGUAGCGUGAAGGAUGACUGCCCUAUGGGUUGUAAACUUCUUUUAUAUGGGAAUAAAACGUUCCACGUGUGGGAUUUUGUAUGUACCAUAUGAAUAAGGAUCGGCUAACUCCGUGCCAGCAGCCGCGGUAAUACGGAGGAUCCGAGCGUUAUCCGGAUUUAUUGGGUUUAAAGGGAGCGUAGGUGGAUUGUUAAGUCAGUUGUGAAAGUUUGCGGCUCAACCGUAAAAUUGCAGUUGAAACUGGCAGUCUUGAGUACAGUAGAGGUGGGCGGAAUUCGUGGUGUAGCGGUGAAAUGCUUAGAUAUCACGAAGAAGUCCGAUUGCGAAGGCAGUUCACUGGACUGCAACUGACACUGAGGCUCGAAAGUGUGGGUAUCAAACAGGAUUAGAUACCCUAGUAGUC
rnacentral:rRNA from 1 species